ensembl:ncRNA F11D5.29 ncRNA
CAGAAGGAUUAGCACAUUGGCAUGUCUAUUGGAAGGUGUCAUAUUACUAGGUUAGGAACUUGUUACAAAAAUUGACUGACAGAUUACAACUGGAUGCAAUCUGUUCCUCCAACAACAAUCAGAAAACGGGAAGAGG